rnacentral:ncRNA from 2 species
UUUGCCGCAGGCUAUGGGGUUAGCCUUUAACCGCCUUCAACAAGCUGAUAACUCCUGGAUGAUU